UGAAAUCUGGCCCCCGGGCCCGAGUUGUAAUUUGUAGAGGAUGCUUUUGGUGAGGUGCCUUCCGAGUUCCCUGGAACGGGACGCCAUAGAGGGUGAGAGCCCCGUCUGGUUGGACACCGAGCCUCUGUAAAGCUCCUUCGACGAGUCGAGUAGUUUGGGAAUGCUGCUCUAAAUGGGAGGUAUAUGUCUUCUAAAGCUAAAUAUUGGCCAGAGACCGAUAGCGCACAAGUAGAGUGAUCGAAAGAUGAAAAGCACUUUGAAAAGAGAGUUAAAAAGUACGUGAAAUUGUUGAAAGGGAAGCGCUCAUGACCAGACUUGGGCUUGGUUGAUCAUCUAGGGUUCUCCCUAGUGCACUCCUCCAGCCCAGGCCAGCAUCAGUUUGCCCCGGGGGACAAAGGCGUCGGGAAUGUGGCUCCCUCCGGGGAGUGUUAUAGCCCGUCGUGUAAUACCCUGGGGCGGACUGAGGUUCGCGCAUCUGCAAGGAU
rnacentral:rRNA from 1 species